UUCCAGACUCCUACGGGAGGCAGCAGUCGGGAAUAUUGCGCAAUGGAGGAAACUCUGACGCAGUGACGCCGCGUGCAGGAAGAAGGUUUUCGGAUUGUAAACUGCUUUAGACAGGGAAGAAACAAGACAGUACCUGUAGAAUAAGCUCCGGCUAACUACGUGCCAGCAGCCGCGGUAAUACGUAGGGUGCGAGCGUUAAUCGGAAUUACUGGGCGUAAAGGGUGUGCAGGCGGCUGAGUAAGACAGAUGUGAAAUCCCCGGGCUUAACCUGGGAACCGCAUAUGUGACUGCUUGGCUAGAGUGCGUCAGAGGGAGGUGGAAUUCCACGUGUAGCAGUGAAAUGCGUAGAUAUGUGGAAGAACACCGAUGGCGAAGGCAGCCUCCUGGGACGCAACUGACGCUCAUACACGAAAGCGUGGGGAGCAAACAGGAUUAGAUACCCCAGUAAG
rnacentral:rRNA from 1 species